rnacentral:rRNA from 1 species
UGGCUCAGAACGAACGCUGGCGGCGUGCUUAACACAUGCAAGUCGAACGGAGCCAUAAUGAAGUAGCAAUACGGAGAUAUGGCUUAGUGGCGGACGGGUGAGUAACACGUAGGUAACCGACCCUGAAGCGGGGGACAACUCUUCGAAAGGAGAGCUAAUACCGCAUAAGACCACGAUUUGGAAGGAUUGUGGUAAAAGUAGCAAUACACUUUAGGACGGGCCUGCGGCCUAUCAGGUAGUUGGUAAGGUAACGGCUUACCAAGCCUAAGACGGGUAGCCGGACUGAGAGGUUGAACGGCCACACUGGAACUGAGAUACGGUCCAGACUCCUACGGGAGGCAGCAGUGGGGAAUUUUGCGCAAUGGGGGAAACCCUGACGCAGCGACGCCGCGUGGAGGAUGAAGGUCUUCGGAUUGCAAACUCCUUUUGUAGG